rnacentral:rRNA from 1 species
UGCAAGUCGAACGGUGAAGCCCAGCUUGCUGGGUGGAUCAGUGGCGAACGGGUGAGUAACACGUGAGCAACCUGCCCUCCACUUCGGGAUAAGCCUUGGAAACGGGGUCUAAUACCGGAUAUGAGCACAUGGCGCAUGUCGUGUGUUGGAAAGUUUUUCGGUGGGGGAUGGGCUCGCGGCCUAUCAGCUUGUUGGUGGGGUGAUGGCCUACCAAGGCGUCGACGGGUAGCCGGCCUGAGAGGGCGACCGGCCACACUGGGACUGAGACACGGCCCAGACUCCUACGGGAGGCAGCAGUGGGGAAUAUUGCACAAUGGGCGAAAGCCUGAUGCAGCGACGCCGCGUGAGGGAUGACGGCCUUCGGGUUGUAAACCUCUUUCAGCAGGGAAGAAGGCCUUCGGGUGGACGGUACCUGCAGAAGAAGCGCCGGCUAACUACGUGCCAGCAGCCGCGGUAAUACGUAGGGCGCAAGCGUUGUCCGGAAUUAUUGGGCGUAAAGAGCUCGUAGGCGGUUUGUCGCGUCUGGUGUGAAAACCUCAGGCUCAACCUGGGGCGUGCAUCGGGUACGGGCAGACUAGAGUGCGGUAGGGGAGACUGGAAUUCCUGGUGUAGCGGUGGAAUGCGCAGAUAUCAGGAGGAACACCGAUGGCGAAGGCAGGUCUCUGGGCCGCAACUGACGCUGAGGAGCGAAAGCAUGGGGAGCGAACAGGAUUAGAUACCCUGGUAGUCCAUGCCGUAAACGUUGGGCACUAGGUGUGGGGCUCAUUCCACGAGUUCCGUGCCGCAGCUAACGCAUUAAGUGCCCCGCCUGGGGAGUACGGCCGCAAGGCUAAAACUCAAAGGAAUUGA